rnacentral:lncRNA from 1 species
CGGACCAGGAUUCCCGCGGGUCCUGGCGGCUGCGAGCGCGAGGCGGCGCGGAUUCGCGGCUCGGUUCCGGCGCGACUGCUCACCGCGCCCGCCUCGCCUCCCGCGGCUGCCAGCGUGCACUGGGCGCUCCUCGGCGCGUCUGCCCGGCCCGUCUCGGCUUUCCUUCUCCUUCCUCUAGUCCCAGCGUCACAACUCCGCCGACCUCCUCUGCCCUGAGAGCGCGUCCGGUGCGGGCGGAGUCGGACGGACUCUGGCUUCACGCCUCGCGCGGGCACACCUUCUCCCGGGCACUGAGGCCCAGGGGAGGCAGAGUCCUUCUGGAGUUUGACCCUUGGAUUCCAUCCAGAGCAGCCUCCAAAAUGACACCUUUGAAGUUGUGUAUCGAGCUGGGGGAUGUAAAGGGAGGAGAAGAAAGAAGAUGAAGAGAUACCAGCCAGCCUUAAGGAGUGGACAUCCUGCCUGGUGAAACUGAACAAGACACCUACCGCAUAUGGAGUUUCGCUCUGUCGCCCAGGCUGGAGUGCAGUGGUGCCAUCUCGGCUCACCGCAACCUCCACCUCCAGGUUCAAGUGAUUCUCCUGCCUCAGCCUCUC